UCUUCCCCUGAUCAAGGCAGUUAACCCACUGUUACGAGGCUGUCAUUGAAAAUAAGAAUUUGUUCUACUGACUUGCCUAGUUAAAUAAAGGCUAAAAAACUUUUUUUAAAUCAGCUUCUUGAUAUGUAGGGCCCUAUGAUUUCCGCGAUGUGGAAAACUCAGAUGGAAUUGCGGAAUUUGGUAAUAAGAAUUGAAUCAACUGUAAAAAGUGGAAUAUUUCCGAAUUUUCCAUAGUUUGACUGAAAUUGAUUUUUUAUUAAAAAAACAGAAGUAGGCCUAAUGAUUGUAGUAACCUAAAUGAUUUCAGAUUUGUAAAAUUACAGACAAGUAGGCCUAGAGAAAUAAUUCAGUUUUCGAUUGGGGUGUUUUGAGGGGGGGGGGGGUUGGUUGUGCGUGGGACCCUUACGUCAACCUCACAACUUGGCUGUCACUUUGAGAAACAUGUUGAAGAGGCCGUCUGAGAGGGCCAAGUCGUAAAAAAAAAUAUAAUAAUUUGACCAUAAUCCCUAAAUUCAGAGCAGAGCAAUACCCAGAGGACUAUUAUGAGUCAGGCGAUGAGCUGUUUUGCAAAUUCUGUCAACAUACCUGUAAAAAUACGUGUGAUGACCACUUAGUCUGAAGCCCAUGUGAAGAACAAGGAAAAGCACUGUUAGCCAGAGCAUCCCUCUUAAAAAGACCAUUAAUAGUGCAAGCGCAUCUGCAUAUUCAAGAAAAUGAUUUAUUCAGGACUUUGGCUGUGUGCACCGAGUCUGACAUCCCUUUAGAAAAGCUGAAGCAUUGAAAACAGGGAGGAGCGUUGCCCGAAAAUGAGAGCGGCCUCGUCAAACGCACCUGCCCGGUGUGUUCGACCAACGUAUGACUGCCAUUCUACAGAAGAUCUGUGGGAAGAAGUUUGGUGGUUGUUGACAAGACAACAGAUGCAAGGGAUUGCAGGGUUCUAAACAUGAGCCAUUGAUGUUGAAAACCAGUACUUUCUGGUGGAUGCUGUUUUCAUGGACAGAUGCAUCUACUCAACGUUUUCCCAGGUAAUACUAGCCACAGCAACAAUCUGAACCUGAAUGAUGCCUGGGCAGUGGUCACAGAUAAUGUCUCCUACUGCCUGAAGGCAUGCAUGGAGGUUCUGAAAGGAGUGAUGCCCAACAGUGUCCAUGUAACCUGUAUCAGCCAUGUCAUCAAUCUAGUGGGUGAGACCUGGCAGCACUACAAAUAUUUCACUUGUGACAUGGAUGAGACUUCAAGAAGCCUGCCAGAAAGAGAUGGGUGAACUUCCUCAUUAUGAAGGAAUUUGUGCUGGCCAAGGAUCCCCUUGGAGCAGCAUCCUCCAGAUGGAAUAACUGGUUUGAAUCAGUAAAGUACCAUGCAGUUCAUCUGUACAGAGUUUUCGGUGGUGGAAAAGUAAUCAUCCCAGGCAGUCACGAACAUCCUCAGCCAGCUGGAAACAGAGAAGGUUGCUGCAUUGUUGCCUAUAUUCUUGCAUUACUUUUUUUCCAUUUAUAAUGAAACGCUUAGUAGGACUCUGUAUUGAAACACUUGUCUUGAUAAAAAAUAGUGCAAUGUUGUGUUGCAUCAUUACACAUUUACUGUUAUAUCUUAUUAAAUUGUUGACUUUUUAUUAAUUCAUUUAUUAGACAGUUUCUGGAUGAUACAAUUAGAAUAAAUUGUAAAACAUAGAAUUCAGAAAAAUGAAAAUGGAAUUUUGAGAAAAAAUAAAUGGAUUUCAUAGGGCCUUAGAUAUGCCACACCUGUCAGGUGGAUGGAUUAUUUUGGCAAAUAAGACAUUCUCACUAAGAAAUAUGUUAAGAAAUUUGGGCACCAAAUUUGAGCAAAAUAAGAUUUUUGUGCUAUAAGAUCUUUUAUUUCUGCUCAUGAAACAUAGGACCAACACUUUACAUCUUGCCUUUUAUAUUUUUUCAGUGUAUUUAGCUAUUAGCAUGUAUUAAUGUUAUUGUCAUUUCCGAUUAGCCUAAAAUAACUUUCCAUCGUCACUCGUGUAUAGCUGCAAAUGGCGGACUUGCACUUGAUAGUCGCUCUGGAUAAGAGCGUCUGCUAAAUGACUUAAAUGUAAAUGUAAAUGUUGAUGGGGGUGCACAGUUGAGGAAACUAAUGCUGCAUACUGGGUGUGCGGGCUUUUGCUCUAGCCCUGCUCAAACACACCACAUAAAAAAAUCAGCUGCUCAACAGGACCUUGAUAAGCUGACUAGUAUGCUUGAGCUGACUUCUGCUUUCGGAUAAGUAAAAAAUCAGUCAAAUCAAAAAUCUAAUCACAUUUUAUUGGUCACAUACACAUGAUCAAAAGCCUGCACACCCAGUAGCUCUCCAGAUGGAGGGUUGAUGGACUGCAUGUUUUUUACAGUAGCCUAUCAGUGCCGUAUUUUACUUUGGGGGGGUUAAGUGUUUUAAUCAAGGCGAUAAUGUAUAAUAUAUGGGAUCAGAGACUUACAGCCUUCCAUUGUCUGUACCAGUGAUAACAAUGAAUGAAAUAUAUUUUGAAGAUUGUUGAAAAUGUUUAAAUGCUUUUCAGUCUA